AUUUAGUUAGUAUAUUAGUACAUAAAUUUUCCAAAUUUAAAGUAAUCUAAAUA
rnacentral:tRNA from 1 species